GAAAAGAUGAGAAUUAUCAAUUAAAGAAAAGAAGCAUCUAAGAAUUUAUUCAUUGUAAUAUCAGAAAGAUAAACAUUAAGAUUAUUUAUUUGGUGAGGCAAUGGCUUACCAAGAGGACGAUCAGUAGCUGGUCCGAGAGGAUGAUCAGCCACACUGGGACUAAGACACGGCCCAGAUUCUCUUGCAAA
rnacentral:ncRNA from 1 species